GGUCUGGUGGCGUAGUGGUAACACACCUGCUAGGGAUUACAUCCUGAUUUUGUAGUUUUCAGCGGAGUUCCUUGUUCGAUUCAAGGCCAGGCCA